rnacentral:tRNA from 1 species
GCCUGGGUGGCUCAGCCGGUUAAGCGUCUGACUUCAGCUCAGGUCAUGAUCUCACGGUUUGUAGGUUCGAGCCCUGUGUUGGGCU